GAUGAACGCUGGCGGCGUGCCUAAUACAUGCAAGUCGAGCGAACAGACGAGGAUUUUUCUUCUCUUACGUUACCGGCGGACGGGUGAUUAAUACGUGGAUAACCUACCUAUAAGACUGGGAUAACUUCGGGAAACCGGAUCUAAUACCGGUCAUUAUAUUGAACCUCAUGGUUCAUUAGUGAAAGACGGUUUUGCUGUCACUUAUACAUAUAUCCUCGCCGCAGUAGCUAGUUGGUAAGGUAACGGCUUACCAAGGCUACGAUGCGUAGCCGACCUGAGAGGGUGAUCGGCCACACUGGAACUGAGACACGGUCCAGACUCCUACGGGAGGCAGCAGUGGGGAAUAUUCGGCAAUGGGCGAAAGCCUGACGGAGCAACGCCGCGUGAGUGAUGAAGGUCUUCGGAUUGUAAAACUCUGUUAUUAGGGAGGAAGAACUGUGUGAGAAACUCUGGACGUCUUGACGGUACCAACUCAGAAAGCCACGGCUAACUACGUG
rnacentral:rRNA from 1 species